CACCCAACAACUACAACCUAAUAUUACCGACUAGAGGUCUUAAGACAAACAUUCAGUGGGUAAUAACAAAAUGAGUUGUUUUAGGAUGACUAGAGAAGAACUAAAUAGUUGGGAGCAUAUUGCUUCUAGAUAUUAAAUGCCAUGGCUGCAGGAAGAGCAUUGGUCCUAAAUGAGUUCUUAGCCAAUUGAGUAGGGCAUUUUUUCCAUUCCAUAAUAUCUUUGAAGAAGUCACCUAUAUGAGUGUGUUUUGAGGUCUUGAUUUGCGAGAUUGAGGUAUCUAUGAAUCUGAGAUACUAGCACAAUUUUGUGAGGGAAAUAUAUUUCUGAUAUCCUCAAAAGUUGGUCACCAUUACAUUAUACUACUACAAAGUAUGAAUUGUACAAUUAUAAUAUUGCCUAAGGGUACAUAAAAUACAAUACAAUACAUCACACUUCCUAUUUACACCGCAUCUCAACAAUCCAACUGGUGAUUAGAAGCAAGUGCUACGUAGAUUAAUAUGAUAGAAUGAGAAGAGAUUAGAAUCACAUGACUCUUGCUAAGAGCAGAUAAAUUUUGGCUGUGAAAUCAUACUAAGGGUGGAGAUCCCGGCCGAAUAGAUAGAAUUUAUUCCCAAGGUGAAGAAGCAGCCUGAAAGGUUAAGUCUUGAGAUUUUGGUCAGUUGAAGACUGAAGCAAUUAGAGCGGUCUCAGAUUUCCAAGAAUAGAGGGCUAUAUUGUAGGCCAAGUGAGAGGAGACAACUAAUACAAGCUAAGUCAGAAUAAGUUAAAGGCAGAUACAAUAUGAUUAUUGGUUCGAUAGUUAUAGGAUGGUCAAGUUUAUGUAUGUGCAUAGUGGGAAGAUUGUUGAUAGUAGUUAGCACCAAAACUGGAGACUAGAUGUGGAAAGCAAUUGCCAACAUGGAAGUUAAUAUAUUUGAGG
rnacentral:lncRNA from 1 species